rnacentral:rRNA from 1 species
GGGCCCGCACAAGCAGCGGAGCGUGUGGUUUAAUUCGAUGCAACACGAAGAACCUUACCAGGGCUUGACAUGCACGUGGUAGCGGAGCGAAAGCCGAGCGACCCUUCGGGGAGCGUGCACAGGUGCUGCAUGGCUGUCGUCAGCUCGUGCCGUGAGGUGUUGGGUUAAGUCCCCUAACGAGCGCAACCCCUGUUGCUAGUUAGAUCUUUCUAGCGAGACUGCCGGUACAAUACCGGAGGAAGGUGGGGAUGACGUCAAGUCAGCAUGGCCUUUAUGUCCUGGGCUACACACACGCUACAAUGGUCGGUACAGAGGGUAGCCAAGCCGCGAGGCGGAGCAAAUCUCAGAAAGCCGGCCCCAGUUCGGAUUGCAGGCUGCAACCCGCCUGCAUGAAGUCGGAGUUGCUAGUAACCGCUGGUCAGCCAUACAGCGGUGAAUACGUUCCCGGGCCUU